rnacentral:rRNA from 1 species
UGAGGAAUAUUGCGCAAUGGGGGCAACCCUGACGCAGCAACGCCGCGUGAGUGAGGAAGGUUUUCGGACCGUAAAGCUCUGUCGAGCGGGAAGAAAUGUAUCGUGGCUAAUAUCCAUGAUAUUUGACGGUACCGCUAAAGGAAGCACCGGCUAACUCCGUGCCAGCAGCCGCGGUAAUACGGGGGGUGCAAGCGUUGUUCGGAAUUAUUGGGCGUAAAGAGCGUGUAGGCGGCUGAAUAAGUCAGAUGUGAAAUCCCUGGGCUUAACCCAGGAAGUGCAUUUGAAACUAUUCAGCUUGAGUAGGGGAGAGGAAAGUGGAAUUCCUGGUGUAGAGGUGAAAUUCGUAGAUAUCAGGAGGAACACCGGUGGCGAAGGCGACUUUCUGGCCCUAUACUGACGCUGAGACGCGAGAGCGUGGGUAGCAAACA